GACGAACGCUGGCGGCGUGCCUAAUACAUGCAAGUAGAACGCACAGUUUAUACCGUAGCUUGCUACACCAUACACUGUGAGUUGCGAACGGGUGAGUAACGCGUAGGUAACCUGCCUGGUAGCGGGGGAUAACUAUUGGAAACGAUAGCUAAUACCGCAUAAUAUUAAUUAUUGCAUGAUAAUUGAUUGAAAGAUGCAAUUGCAUCACUACCAGAUGGACCUGCGUUGUAUUAGCUAGUAGGUGAGGUAACGGCUCACCUAGGCGACGAUACAUAGCCGACAUGAGAGGGUGAUCGGCCACACUGGGACUGAGACACGGCCCAGACUCCUACGGGAGGCAGCAGUAGGGAAUCUUAGGCAAUAGAAGAAAGUCUGACCGAGCAACGCCGCGUGAGUGAAGAAGGUUUUCGGAUCGUAAAGCUCUGUUGUAAGAGAAGAACGGGUGUGAGAGUGGAAAGUUCACAAUGUGACGGUAUCUUACCAGAAAGGGACGGCUAACUACGUG
rnacentral:rRNA from 1 species